rnacentral:sRNA from 1 species
UCAUAUAUUUUCUUAGCCUUUGAAAAACACUCGAUUUAAGUUUAUAAUAGUUCUCAAAAUUUCUUUCAAAAUAUUGUGUCUACAGGACAACAAUACUUGCAUAAAAGUUUAAGCGUCUGUUUUACCAUCUCUGCAUCAUAGAUAUUCUCUUAACAAUGUGAGUUAUAUUCACAAAGAGACUUCAAGUCUUGAAGUUUCAGUAAUAACUAAUUAUAACUUAUUUUAUCUAAUAACACAUUCGUAUAAGAAUUGCUUUAUACAACUUUUAGAUCUUUAGUAGUCAAAGAUUGAACAUAAUCUUUUGGAUAUGUCACUUAUUAUCCAUGUGAGAUUCAUUACUUCUCCUCCUCGAAAUGAUGAAACUUCAAGUUCAUCCAUCUCGUUUUUAAUUCCACUCUAGAAUCAUAGUAUAUUUUAUAUCUCAUCAUAUUAACUUUAAGAUUUGGAGAAUUAUACGGCAUCAAUGAUUUUAAUUUUGUAUUCCCAUAAAAAACAAUGUAUAUGCUCUUCUAGAGUCUUUUAAUAAGAUUUUAUACUACUUGAUAUACUAGAUUAUUUCAUCUUUAGAAUAUUUUUU